AUGACCUCGCGGAUGGAGAGGGAUUCGAACCCCCGGUAUUCCUAUCAAUACUUCCGUUUUCAGGACCGACUCUUUCAACCACUCAGACAUCCAUCCCUGCGCUCACCCCUAUCUAUCUGCGCGCUGGCAGGUAGGGGCAACUCUAUGUGA
rnacentral:rRNA from 1 species